GGAUGUGAGGGUGAUCUGGCCCCAACAUCUUUUACCCCACUGAUCACCAGGGUUAUUUUGGCUAAUCUGGCUGGCUAGGCAGGUGUCCCCUUCCUUCCUCAAUGCUCCAUGUAUAGCCCUCCUGAAGCUGUGUUCUUGGUCGAAGAGGAUGGCCACGCUUGAUAGAGGAGGACCGUUCCCCACUCAAGGGUAUGCCAGUCGCUGCAGUCUACUGCUAGCACCUCCAAACAGACUCUUAAAGAAAAUGACUACACAGAAAGAUUUCUGGGGAGACAGACAUGCAUGAGAUACCAAGAAAUAGCUAGGAACAUAGAAGGGAGGGGACCAUCAGUA
rnacentral:snRNA from 1 species